rnacentral:rRNA from 1 species
GGGUUGUGAGGUUAAGCGACUAAGCGUACACGGUGGAUGCCCUGGCAGUCAGAGGCGAUGAAGGACGUGCUAAUCUGCGAUAAGCGUCGGUAAGGUGAUAUGAACCGUUAUAACCGGCGAUUUCCGAAUGGGGAAACCCAGUGUGUUUCGACACACUAUCAUUAACUGAAUCCAUAGGUUAAUGAGGCGAACCGGGGGAACUGAAACAUCUAAGUACCCCGAGGAAAAGAAAUCAACCGAGAUUCCCCCAGUAGCGGCGAGCGAACGGGGAGCAGCCCAGAGCCUGAAUCAGUGUGUGUGUUAGUGGAAGCGUCUGGAAAGGCGCGCGAUACAGGGUGACAGCCCCGUACACAAAAAUGCACAUGCUGUGAGCUCGAUGAGUAGGGCGGGACACGUGGUAUCCUGUCUGAAUAUGGGGGGACCAUCCUCCAAGGCUAAAUACUCCUGACUGACCGAUAGUGAACCAGUACCGUGAGGGAAAGGCGAAAAGAACCCCGGCGAGGGGAGUGAAAAAGAACCUGAAACCGUGUACGUACAAGCAGUGGGAGCACGCUUAGGCGUGUGACUGCGUACCUUUUGUAUAAUGGGUCAGCGACUUAUAUUCUGUAGCAAGGUUAACCGAAUAGGGGAGCCGAAGGGAAACCGAGUCUUAACUGGGCGUUAAGUUGCAGGGUAUAGACCCGAAACCCGGUGAUCUAGCCAUGGGCAGGUUGAAGGUUGGGUAACACUAACUGGAGGACCGAACCGACUAAUGUUGAAAAAUUAGCGGAUGACUUGUGGCUGGGGGUGAAAGGCCAAUCAAACCGGGAGAUAGCUGGUUCUCCCCGAAAGCUAUUUAGGUAGCGCCUCGUGAAUUCAUCUCCGGGGGUAGAGCACUGUUUCGGCAAGGGGGUCAUCCCGACUUACCAACCCGAUGCAAACUGCGAAUACCGGAGAAUGUUAUCACGGGAGACACACGGCGGGUGCUAACGUCCGUCGUGAAGAGGGAAACAACCCAGACCGCCAGCUAAGGUCCCAAAGUCAUGGUUAAGUGGGAAACGAUGUGGGAAGGCCCAGACAGCCAGGAUGUUGGCUUAGAAGCAGCCAUCAUUUAAAGAAAGCGUAAUAGCUCACUGGUCGAGUCGGCCUGCGCGGAAGAUGUAACGGGGCUAAACCAUGCACCGAAGCUGCGGCAGCGACGCUUAUGCGUUGUUGGGUAGGGGAGCGUUCUGUAAGCCUGCGAAGGUGUGCUGUGAGGCAUGCUGGAGGUAUCAGAAGUGCGAAUGCUGACAUAAGUAACGAUAAAGCGGGUGAAAAGCCCGCUCGCCGGAAGACCAAGGGUUCCUGUCCAACGUUAAUCGGGGCAGGGUGAGUCGACCCCUAAGGCGAGGCCGAAAGGCGUAGUCGAUGGGAAACAGGUUAAUAUUCCUGUACUUGGUGUUACUGCGAAGGGGGGACGGAGAAGGCUAUGUUGGCCGGGCGACGGUUGUCCCGGUUUAAGCGUGUAGGCUGGUUUUCCAGGCAAAUCCGGAAAAUCAAGGCUGAGGCGUGAUGACGAGGCACUACGGUGCUGAAGCAACAAAUGCCCUGCUUCCAGGAAAAGCCUCUAAGCAUCAGGUAACAUCAAAUCGUACCCCAAACCGACACAGGUGGUCAGGUAGAGAAUACCAAGGCGCUUGAGAGAACUCGGGUGAAGGAACUAGGCAAAAUGGUGCCGUAACUUCGGGAGAAGGCACGCUGAUAUGUAGGUGAAGUCCCUCGCGGAUGGAGCUGAAAUCAGUCGAAGAUACCAGCUGGCUGCAACUGUUUAUUAAAAACACAGCACUGUGCAAACACGAAAGUGGACGUAUACGGUGUGACGCCUGCCCGGUGCCGGAAGGUUAAUUGAUGGGGU